GAUGAACGCUGGCGGCGUGCUUAACACAUGCAAGUCGAACGAUGAAGGGAGCUUGCUCCUGGAUUAGUGGCGAACGGGUGAGUAACACGUGAGUAACCUGCCCUUGACUCUGGGAUAAGCCUGGGAAACUGGGUCUAAUACCGGAUAUGACUGACCGUCGCAUGGUGGUUGGUGGAAAGCUUUUGUGGUUUUGGAUGGACUCGCGGCCUAUCAGCUUGUUGGUGGGGUAAUGGCCUACCAAGGCGACGACGGGUAGCCGGCCUGAGAGGGUGACCGGCCACACUGGGACGGAGACACGGCCCAGACUCCUACGGGAGGCAGCAGUGGGGAAUAUUGCACAAUGGGCGCAAGCCUGAUGCAGCGACGCCGCGUGAGGGAUGACGGCCUUCGGGUUGUAAACCUCUUUCAGUAGGGAAGAAGCGAGAGUGACGGUACCUGCAGAAGAAGCGCCGGCUAACUACGUGCCAGCCGCCGCCGUAAAAC
rnacentral:rRNA from 1 species